rnacentral:lncRNA from 1 species
UGAGACAAGUAGGUGGUGAUGGAGGUAGCUAGCUCAUUGAAGAAGGUAAGGUUCCAAAAGGCAAGCAAGAUGGAGAAGGUUAGGUUCGAAAUGAUGGAGCAAGCCUGAUAAAAUUUUUGAUGCAUGAUGAGAAUUUGGGAAGCUAUGUGGGUGAGUUCUCAUUGAUCUGCAGAAAAGAUUGUGUGCAAAACUAAUUUGCAGCUUGAUGCACCUUUUGGAUAGAGGUUAUGCGCAUGCAAUAUUACCUUCGCAAGCUACAGUUCUGUGAUGUAGGAAUUGUUGAGCCUGAGAGCAGGCAAGAAGCAAACCCGACAUGCGCCAAAAAGGGAUUGUAUGUAUUGUUCCUUUGCUGGUUUCUAUGCCUUCAAUGAGCCACUGAAGUGAAUCUGAGGUACAAGCAUAAGUUUUUACCAACUCGGCGCGGCUUCUGGUUACUUGUUUUCUCCAUGAGGAUUGAUAUACAUUUUUGAUUUUGAGAUGUUUUGAUCCUCGUUAUUUUAGUUCUUUGCUCUUUUUCCUACCUAGUGUUUGCCAUGAAUAUUGUCUUUGUGUCUAGAAUCCGAUUUGGAUGAUUGUUAACUGAUGCUACCAAUUUUUCAUUAUAUUUGUUUCUGAAAUUUGUUUUGGGAUUUCACACUGGCGGCAUUUUAAUAGCCUGUUUGAGUUCAAACGCUGACCAAAGU